rnacentral:lncRNA from 1 species
CUCCCUAUAAAUAGAGGCAAAAAAGGGACUCUCUAGAUAUGUAAUUUUUGGCAUCCUAUCACUCUCCUUCUAAUCUAUUUAGACAUGGCAUUGGGUCGUGCCGGGCAUGGCCCAGCCCAGGCCCAUCGGGCCACAGUCCAAAUGGGCCGUGCCAGGCACGGCCUGUUCACCCCGAACCCCGACUUGGCACGACCCUAGGCUCGGGGUCUGGUGGGCUAUGCUUGGCACAGCCCGUAGCCCGUAAGGCCUGCGGAUCUGAUAAGC